UUGAUCUCACUGGCCCACUGAAGACAACUGAGACUGGGAACAAGUGGAGACUUUUCACGUGUACAGUCUACUUCACAAAAUGGCUGGAAGCGUUUCCCAUAUCAGACAAAAAAGCUGAAACAAUAGCCAGUUGUCUUAUGAUGGUCAUCUAUAGGCAUGGAACCCCCAAAAAAUAUUAACAGACCUGGGAAAGGAAUUCAUCAAUGCAAUCAACAAAGACAUAUGCAAGACCUUAAACAUCCGUCAUUUGAUGACCGCAGCUUAUCAUCCCCAAACCAAUGGGUUGGACGAGAAAAAUUUACCGUGUGUGAAAAAUUGUUUGAACGGAGCUUUAGAAGUCUAGUAGUUGAUGGUGUGCACGUCACAUCAUCAGUACUAUACGGACUGUUAAAAGAGGAAGUGGAGCCAGAAUUGUGCGGGGAAAAACUCAAAAAAAACACCAAGAAUGUGUAUUACCGCAAGUGGCAGCAGGGAAAAGCAAUUGGGGGUGUUCGAGCUCGCUGCCAAAGUUGUGGGACACCAUGUGCAGCCUGCAAGGGUGAG